rnacentral:rRNA from 1 species
UAUGUUUGGUUUAAUUUGAGUUAAUUGUUUAUUGGAUUUAACAUUUUAAUUUUUAGGUGAAAUUUGUAUAUAAAUUAAGUUUAUUUAAGAUUCUUUUAAGGGCUAAUUUUAGACUAGGAUUAGAUACCCUAUUAUUAUAGUUUGUAAAGAUUUUCUGGGUAGUAUUAGUUAAGGUCUUUAAACCUAAAGAAUUUGGCGGUGUUUUAGUCUGGUUAGAGGAACUUGUCUCUUUGAUUGAUAACCCUCGUUUUAUCUGUCUUGGCCUUGAUAUUUAGUAUGUAUACCUCCGUUAUAAGUUUAUUUU